rnacentral:rRNA from 1 species
CGUCAGGACGAACGGCUGGCGGCGUGCCUAAUACAUGCAAGUCGAACGGUCGUUUCUAUGGAAGCUUGCUUCCACUGAGAAGAUAGUGGCGAACGGGUGAGUAACACGUGGGUAACCUGCCCAUAAGAGGGGGAUAACAUCCGGAAACGGGUGCUAAUACCGCAUAGUUUUCUUGAUCGCAUGAUCGGGAAAGGAAAGACGGCCUUUGUGCUGUCGCUUAUGGAUGGACCCGCGGCGUAUUAGUUAGUUGGUGAGGUAACGGCUCACCAAGACGAUGAUACGUAGCCGACCUGAGAGGGUGAUCGGCCACAUUGGGACUGAGACACGGCCCAAACUCCUACGGGAGGCAGCAGUAGGGAAUCUUCCGCAAUGGACGAAAGUCUGACGGAGCAACGCCGCGUGAGUGAAAGAAGGUUUUCGGAUCGUAAAACUCUGUUGUCAGAGAAGAACAAGUUGGAGAGUAACUGCUCCAGCCUUGACGGUAUCUGACCAGAAAGCCACGGCUAACUACGUGCCAGCCGCCGC